ensembl:lncRNA
AUGGGUGCUAAACAGGGUAGGGAGCUAGAAGCUCCUGAGGGUCCGAUCGUUAAUGUCAUGAGAAAGAAAUAUGGUGAAGAGAGUUUGUCAAAUUUAUCAAUUUGGACGGAAAUGUUCGGAUUUCCAAAGGGUGGUUCUUUAAGCAAAUUAAAAAUAAAGGACCUAAAAGAGAAAUUGCAAGAAGGAGAAGAUGGUAUUAGAAAGAACAAGAAAAUUAAAGUUAAAGAUUUAGAAAUGAUAGAAUGUCACAGAAAGUGUUUGAAGUACUGGGAAGAUGAAGCCGAGUGUAGGGAAAGACGGCAUUUAGCUGCUGCUUUAAAGAAAAUAAAUGUAGAAGAUAAGAAAGAGAAGAAAGACGAAAAAAGUCCGAUGUUUGAUCAUAUGUCCCACCCCACCCCUGCGCUUCCACCACCAUAUGUCCCUCUCAAUCCCAACCCGCAUAACCCAUUUAACACACACACUGUCACGGCUUCUUUGUAUCCCUGUGUAAAAGGCCGGCGUGAUUCCCUCUUGGAUGGCUGUCCGUUCCCACCUCUCCCAACUGUGCUAUCUGCACCAACUACUCCUCCACCAGGACCACAACCACAGGCUGCCGCUACACCACAAGAAGCGGAAGGGGGACAUCGUAUCCUGCCGCUACCAGUGAACAGUAACGACAGAAAGAUCACCAUCCUAAGCGAAGCCUUGGCCCGAAUAAACCUCACCGACGAAGAAGAGCUCCGUAAAAAAUUCAGAGCAGAGGCCGACGAAGAGCAUGAAAAAUACAAAUACUAUCUUCGAUCCCAGAGUAAAGAUCUACACAACCAAACAACCAUGAAUCUCCCCAUGAUCGAAGUACAGGGACACCUAGGUGCCGCUCUUGUUUUCCGCCCAUGGACCGUGGAAGAAAUGAAGUCUGUAAUCAAAGAUCACCUCCCUAACAUUGAAGAAAGCGGUGAGAAAUUUGCUGUUGAACUUUUAAUAUUCUGUCAGACAUUUAUGCCCACUAUGGCUGAAUUACGAAAAUUACUAAUUCUACGCUGUGGGGCUACCAACGCCUCCAAAUGGCAUAACGAGGUGGCCGGUGAUAGCCGCAUGGCUAACCCUACAUGGACGGACGCAGACAACAACAACUACACCAUCGCUGUUACGGCCCUCUGUGAAAAAAUUCGCACCUCCUUUCCUACCAAAGUCAACAUGACAAAGAUCUCUGCAUGCAGCCAAGAUGUCACAGAAUCGGUUGUCGAUUUCCUCCAUCGCCUGGAGAAGGUGUUUAACGAAAACAGCGGCAUCAACCGCCCCGACCCAAAUAACAUGGGUGCUACUCCAGGAGCAUGGGAAACCCAUCUCAUCAACACCCUCCUCCGGGGCCUACGCCCAGACAUUAGUGCCUCUGUUGUUGAAACAUGUGUUGGCGUGUAUGAAGGAGCCAGACUCGACGAAGUUCGCCGCCAUGCCAUUCACGCUGAAAAACGUCUCACAGCAGCUAAAGAACACUCUGAAAAACAAAGAAAAGACACUAAAGAUAAAGCUCAACUCUGCAUGCUCUCCACUCUAACAGCCUGGUCUCACAAGGACUCACAAGGAGCCCGUGGACGAGGUUUCCAACGGGGCAGAGGAGGAUUUCGAGGCAGAGGACGAGGACGUGGAGGGCCUCCACAGAAUAACGGUGCCUGUUUCAUCUGCAACAAACAAGAUCACUGGGUCAAAGAUUGUCCAGAAAGACGCAACCGACAACAGGGACGCGAACAACAGGAAUUCAGUCAGGACUACACAGCUGGAAACUGA